GAGCUUGCUCCUUUGACGUUAGCGGCGGACGGGUGAGUAACACGUGGAUAACCUACCUAUAAGACUGGGAUAACUUCGGGAAACCGGAGCUAAUACCGGAUAACAUAUUGAACCGCAUGGUUCAAUAGUGAAAGGCGGCUUUGCUGUCACUUAUAGAUGGAUCCGCGCCGUAUUAGCUAGUUGGUAAGGUAACGGCUUACCAAGGCAACGAUACGUAGCCGACCUGAGAGGGUGAUCGGCCACACUGGAACUGAGACACGGUCCAGACUCCUACGGGAGGCAGCAGUAGGGAAUCUUCCGCAAUGGGCGAAAGCCUGACGGAGCAACGCCGCGUGAGUGAUGAAGGUCUUCGGAUCGUAAAACUCUGUUAUCAGGGAAGAACAAAUGUGUAAGUAACUGUGCACAUCUUGACGGUACCUGAUCAGAAAGCCACGGCUAACUACGUGCCAGCAGCCGCGGUAAUACGUAGGUGGCAAGCGUUAUCCGGAAUUAUUGGGCGUAAAGCGCGCGUAGGCG
rnacentral:rRNA from 1 species